AUUGAACGCUGGCGGCAGGCUUAACACAUGCAAGUCGAGCGAGCGGCGGACGGGUGAGUAAUGUCUGGGAAACUGCCUGAUGGAGGGGGGUAACUACUGGAAACGGUAGCUAAUACCGCAUACCAUCAGAUGUGCCCAGAUGGGAUUAGCUAGUAGGUGGGGUAAUGGCUCACCUAGGCGACGAUCCCUAGCUGGUCUGAGAGGAUGACCGGCAAAAGUGGAACUGGGACACGGUCCAGACUCCUACGGGAGGCAGAAGUGGGGAAUAUUGGACAAUGGGCGCAAGCUUGAGGCAGCCAUGCCGCGUGGGGGAAGAAGGCUUUCGGGUUGUAAAGCACUUUCAGCGAGGAGGCGUUACUCGAAGAAGAAGCACCGGCUAACUCCGUGCCAGCAGCCGCGGUAAUUC
rnacentral:rRNA from 1 species